GUGGGGAAUCUUAGACAAUGGGGGCAACCCUGAUCUAGCCAUGCCGCGUGAGUGAUGAAGGCCUUAGGGUCGUAAAGCUCUUUCGCCGGGGAAGAUAAUGACGGUACCCGGUAAAGAAACCCCGGCUAACUCCGUGCCAGCAGCCGCGGUAAUACGGAGGGGGUUAGCGUUGUUCGGAAUUACUGGGCGUAAAGCGCGCGUAGGCGGAUCGGAAAGUUGGGGGUGAAAUCCCGGGGCUCAACCCCGGAAUUGCCUUCAAAACUCCCGGUCUUGAGGUCGAGAGAGGUGAGUGGAAUUCCGAGUGUAGAGGUGAAAUUCGUAGAUAUUCAGAGGAACACCAGUGGCGAAGGCGGCUCACUGGCUCGAUACUGACGCUGUGGUGCGAAAGCGUGGGGAGCAAACAGGAUUAGAAACCCUUGUAGUCC
rnacentral:rRNA from 1 species